rnacentral:rRNA from 1 species
CACUCCUACGGGAGGCAGCAGUGGGGAAUAUUGGACAAUGGGCGCAAGCCUGAUCCAGCCAUGCCGCGUGAGUGAUGAAGGCCCUAGGGUUGUAAAGCUCUUUCACCGGUGAAGAUAAUGACGGUAACCGGAGAAGAAGCCCCGGCUAACUUCGUGCCAGCAGCCGCGGUAAUACGAAGGGGGCUAGCGUUGUUCGGAUUUACUGGGCGUAAAGCGCACGUAGGCGGACUAUUAAGUCAGGGGUGAAAUCCCGGGGCUCAACCCCGGAACUGCCUUUGAUACUGGUAGUCUUGAGUUCGAGAGAGGUGAGUGGAAUUCCGAGUGUAGAGGUGAAAUUCGUAGAUAUUCGGAGGAACACCAGUGGCGAAGGCGGCUCACUGGCUCGAUACUGACGCUGAGGUGCGAAAGCGUGGGGAGCAAACAGGAUGAGAAACCCUUGUAGUCCCAUGA